rnacentral:ncRNA from 2 species
UAGAUUGCACCCCUGUCAGGUGCCCCGUGGAUGCACGCAUCCCCGGGGUGAAACGGGAAGUUGGUGAGGUCCGGACAUCCGUCCGGAGCGAUUCCAACGCUGCCCCCGCAACGGUAAUCGAGUUGCGUUGAAUCACGCGGCGCGCCAGCGCACGCAAGCCACUGUGUCCGGACUUUGGGCGCGGGAAGGCGAUUCAACGCGAGGACUCGUGAGCCCGGAGACCGGCCUGGCACUGUGGCAACGU